GGGGGGGGGGGGGGGGGGGGGGGGGGGGGGGGGGGAGGGGGCGGGGGGGGGGGGCUGGCUGGGCGGGGAUGAGUUGCGAACGGGUGAGUAACGCGUGGGUAACCUGCCUUGUAGCGGGGGAUAACUAUUGGAAACGAUAGCUAAUACCGCAUAACAAUGGAUGACACAUGUCAUUUAUUUGAAAGGGGCAAUUGCUCCACUACAAGAUGGACCUGCGUUGUAUUAGCUAGUAGGUGAGGUAAUGGCUCACCUAGGCGACGAUACAUAGCCGACCUGAGAGGGUGAUCGGCCACACUGGGACUGAGACACGGCCCAGACUCCUACGGGAGGCAGCAGUAGGGAAUCUUCAGCAAUGGGGGCAACCCUGACCGAGCAACGCCGCGUGAGUGAAGAAGGUUUUCGGAUCGUAAAGCUCUGUUGUAAGUCAAGAACGGGUGUGAGAGUGGAAAGUUCACACUGUGACGGUAGCUUACCAGAAAGGGACGGCUAACUACGUG
rnacentral:rRNA from 1 species